UGUCUCCAUCGUGAAGAAGAGAAAGCCUCUUUUAGAUCGCAUCUGAAAAUAUUAGGGAUAUGCUCCGCCAGAACCAGCAAACCAAAGUUGCAGCAGGUCCGAGCACAACAUCGGAUUUGAGUCUCGGAAACUCAAAGCUCUGUUUCGAAUAGUAGUGUCUAUCUGAUGGAGGAGCAGAUCAGAGGAUUUAAAGCUAUUGUGAUGGAGCCGAUGAUUUCUCUCUGUCCAUAGAGUGUAGAUGGUAGCUUGCCAGGCUAAAAGGAGGAGCUUCUAAGCAGUGUGAGAUCCUCGGUAGGACGAUAAGUUAAGUAGAGUCACUGACCAGGAACGUGGUGAGGCGAAACGACACCGACGAGCGAUGAGACUCCAAAUCGACCUGCUAAAAGUACACUCAAACAAGAGAUGGUCACGACUCUCUGAAGCGUUUGCACAAAGAAGACAUUGCGGAUCAAUCUGCAAUCCCCAGCUUACAUCCUGUCACGAGUCGGGCAUCUGUUUAACAGAAAGAGUCAAGUAACCACACGUUGCUUAGGGAUUCCUCCGGAGAACCACACAGUCGUAUACCAAGGGACAAGAGGAUGCCUUUCCUUGAGGGCAGAGCAGAUCUUCCCUGUCGAGUGGCUAUCUUUUAGUUGGUCAUCUAUCCACCAAUGAUCUACAAGUCGAGCACCCCGUGGAAUACUAAUGAGAUAAAGACCUUCCCCUUGAAGAUAAGUUGACAUCUUACCUAAUUUACUCCAAUGAUCUGACCAAAACUGACAUGAUCUUCCAUCGCCCACUUUCAUUUUAAUCCAAUCAUAAGCUAUAUCUCUGAUCUUCAUUAGCUUAUUAGUUAACCAAGAGUGUUUUGCGUUUGGCUUUUUGGUCCAGAAAUUGCUAAGGUUACCAGAGAGGAUUGCGUUCUUAAACCAGGCGACCCAUACUGAACCUGCUCUGAAAGACAACAUCCAGAUAAGCUUCACCAUACAAGCUUUGUUCCAAGAAGAAAGCAGAACACCAGAAGUUUGAGAUGCCAGCAAUGACCGUGUUUAACAUUUGGAGCCUGCCCGCAAAAGAGAGAGUUUUUGUAGACUAGGCAUUGAGUCGACUUUUUACAGCUUGGAUCAAAGGGGCACAGUCCAACAAGCUUGGGGGAUUCCUGAAGUGAAAAAGCUUGUUUUUGGGAUACUUAUCGCUAAGCCAGAGACAGCUUCAAACUCUUUCAAGACCUGAAGAACAUUUUGUACCGAUGAGGCAGACCCAUCCACAAAUAUCAACAGGCAAACCGAGAGACAGUUCAUUGCAAGGACAAACAAGUAGGGUGAAAGUGGAUCGCCUUGUCAGAGCCCUCUUUGUCCUUUAAAGUACCCUUGAACCACCCCAUUGAACUCCACGGAGAAGUUUGGAGUGCAAAUACAAGCCUCCAACCACCGCAGUUUGGUUUCGCUGCACAAGAUCAGGAAGGGCAGGUUUCAGAUUUUUCACAAGCAAUGAAAAAACUGAAACCUGCCCUUUCAUGGCCACUUCCCAGCCUGUAAAACUUUAAUUGGAUCAAGGAUAUUUGGAAUCUCCAAUGUGCCCCAAAAAUCAAAUCCUUCUUAUGGAAAGCAGUGAAUGAGGCCUUACCAGUAGGACAAAACCUGCAACAUGGAGGUAUCAAUCCGCAUGCCCGUUGCCCCACUGUGGGGAAGAGGAAUUGAUAUUACACAUGUUGUUCCACUGCAGUUUCGUCAUGAAGGUCUGGAAGGCGGCACCGUUUAAAAACCCUCUACACCCCUCUGCUAUCACAAGCUGCCGGAUGGGGAUCGAGACCUCGAACAAGCUCAUAACCCUCCCACCAAUCGGACCAAUUCACGGUUCGAUCUCCCCUUGGAUCUUGUGGAGCACCAGGAAUAAGAGAAUCUUCGAACAGACCUGUCUGUCAAGCUGUGAUGUAAUCUCCAGAUCUAUUAUCCUAGCUAAGGAAUGGACCGACGCACAGAUCCUAGUCCAGAGGAGUAGUCCGGCAAUACCACCUACCCAGAUCCACUGCUCCUACAGUGACACGAUCCGUUGCUCUUCCGAUGCUGCAUGGCUUGAGGAAUCAAGACGAGCUGGAUUCGGGUGGAUCUUCGAACAGCACCUUCCCAACCUAGAGAGGCAGGGUGAAGCUGUAGCAGAAAAUGUCCGAUCUCCUCUCAUGGCAGAGGCCUUGGCUCUUCAUCACGCCCUCAUCCACGCUCUCGACCUCGGAUACAGAAACGUUUCUUUUGCUUCAGAUGCGCAUUUGCUGAUCAAAGCACUCAAUUUGGACCUCCAAUUAAAGGAGCUCCAUGGGAUUCAACACGAAAUCUUUUUGAUUUUUACCCAG